UUUUAGCCCCGAUCGCAACGGCAUCCUUUUUCUUUUUUCAGGAUGGAAAAUGCGAUGGCAAAAAGAAAAAGACCUGCCUGUCGGCAGACAGGUAUAGUGAAGAGUGGGAUUAAGC
rnacentral:misc_RNA from 1 species